AGAGUUUGAUCCUGGCUCAGGAUGAGCGCUGGCGGCGUGCCUAAUACAUGCAAGUCGAACGAGGACAAAUAGAUCUUCGGAUUUAUGAAAUCCUAGUGGCGAACGGGUGAGUAACGCGUUGGUGACCUGCCCCGAAGAGGGUGAUAACAGUUCGAAAGGACUGCUAAUACCCCAUAAGCUCACGAGAGUUAGAGGUCUAGUGAGAAAAGGAGUAAUCCGCUUCGGGAGGGGCCUGCGUCCCAUCAGCUAGUUGGUAGGGUAAAAGCCUACCAAGGCGAUGACGGGUAGGGGACCUGAGAGGGUGGCCCCCCACAAUGGAACUGAAACACGGUCCAUACACCUACGGGUGGCAGCAGUAGGGAAUAUUGCUUAAUGGGCGAAAGCCUGAAGCAGCAACGCCGCGUGUACGAUGAAGGCCUUCGGGUUGUAAAGUACUUUUUGUAGGGAUGAGGAAGGACAGUACCUGCAGAAUAAGCCUCGGCUAACUACGUGCCAGCAGCCGCGGUAAAACGUAGGAGGCGAGCGUUAUCCGGAUUUACUGGGCGUAAAGCGCGUGUAGGCGGAUUGGUAAGUUAGCUGUGAAAGCUCCCGGCUUAACUGGGAGAGGUCGGUUAAUACUGUCAGUCUAGAGUAUGUGAGAGGGAAGUGGAAUUCCGGGUGUAGUGGUGAAAUGCGUAGAUAUCCGGAGGAACACCAGAGGCGAAAGCGGCUUCCUGGCACAUUACUGACGCUCAGACGCGAAAGCUAGGGGAGCAAACGGGAUUAGAGACCCCGGUAGUCCUAGCUGUAAACGAUGUAGACUUGGCGUUGGUGGGGUCAAACCCAUCAGUGCCGGAGCUAACGCAUUAAGUCUACCGCCUGGGGACUACGGCCGCAAGGUUAAAACUCAAAGGAAUUGACGGGGACCCGCACAAGCAGCGGAGCGUGUGGUUUAAUUCGAUGUUACACGAAGAACCUUACCAGGGUUUGACAUGCAAGUGGUAGUGAAGCGAAAGCAGAACGACCCUUCGGGGAGCUUGCACAGGUGCUGCAUGGCUGUCGUCAGCUCGUGUCGUGAGAUGUUCGGUUAAGUCCGCUAACGAGCGCAACCCUCGUCGUGUGUUACAAGUGUCACGCGAGACCGCCGGUCAUAAACCGGAGGAAGGUGGGGAUGACGUCAAGUCAGCAUGGCCUUUAUGUCCUGGGCUACACACACGCUACAAU
rnacentral:rRNA from 1 species